UCAAUGUGAAGGAACGGUUUUGUUAUAUAAAUUUGCAUAUCCUGUCGAGGACUGGUCAGAACACUUUCAUUUCAGGGUGAAAUGAAACUUACAGGACUAAGUAUUUCAGUCUAUAGGGGGGUGGGGAGAGAAACAAAAGACAAGGUUAAUGAUGAUACUGGGGCUUCACAAUGAAUUCUGUAGGCUGUGUUCUGCUUUUGGCUCAUGGUAUCUGCAAAUUUCUAACAAAGAGUAUUAUUUGAAAACGGUCAUGGUUGUAUCUAACUGAAGGGGUUAAAAGUUGAGACUCGUUUUAAAAAGACGUGAUGGUUGCCAUUAAAGUCCUCUCUCCCUUUUAUCAAGCAGACCCUGACCGCCAGCAUCUGUGAGAGGGAACAGCAGAAAUCCGGCAAAUGGUGGGGUGAAUCCCUAGCCCUCUCGCAUGCUCACCCAAAUCAAGCAAUGCGCAUAGAGAAACACGGAAGACAUCCUCCUUCCCCGUGCUGGGAACACAGCAUUCAGGGGACCGGAGCAAUUUGUGUAUCGCGCAGAAGAGACCGUGCAGCAGGGCUGCAGACUGCUCUCCUGAGAAAGGCCCGCUUUGAAGGUUGGCCUUUGGAAUCUGGGGACUGGGAUUUCUAGUGGGUUCUCACCAUUCCCAGAAUUGAUAAGAGUGGUUCACUGCAAAUCAGCUGUUUUUGUGAACACUCUGAUGUAUGUUGAACACCGGCUGUCCUUCCAGGAGCCUGGAAUUUUGGCACGUGCAAGGCAGAGGGUGCCUAUGGGACCAGUCCCCCCACAAGAAACCCUGAGUGCCACAUCUCUAAUGAAUUUCCCUGGUAGACAACAUUUUACAUGUGCCUUGUAAACAACUGCUUGCAGGGGGAAUUCAGCUUCCUGUGGGCCUCUCCUGGGACAAGGUUCUGGAAGCUUGUGCCAGGCUUCCUCCCAUCGUUGCCCCAUGCACCCUUUCUCUAUACUGAUUUUGGUUUGUGUCCUUUCACUAUAAAGAAUCAUAGCUGUGGGUAAACUAUAUGCUGAGUCCUGUGAAUCCUCCUCAUGAAUCAUUAAACGUGGGGGUGGUCUUGGGGACCCCAAGCACAAUUUCUCCCCCCAUCUAUAAAUGUUCUAUACCAC
rnacentral:lncRNA from 1 species